CACGCCCAGGCGGCGUCGAGUGUUCUACUUCCACCCAUCCCCCCAGCAGUGUAACCCUAGCCUUUCUUCCCACUCUUUUCGCCGCCCCCUCCUCUCCCUACUCGUCGUCUCUGCCUGCUACCCCUUUGAACUCACUCCAUGCGCCAUGUCUGAAGCUUUGGCGAGUGCGUCAGUCCUCAUGGUGGCUGCCGGCGGCAUUCCAAACGCGGUCCCCCACGGCAGCUUCUGGCGGCGCUCGGGGCACGGCCACUCGGUGGCUGCCGGCCUGCUUCCCUCCCACCUGCAUGUCGCGCUAGCUUCUGAGUCUCCCUCUGUCUCCCAGGAUCUGGCGAAGUUGAGACUAGAUCCAGUGGCGGAGCUUGUCGCUGACCCGAGCUGGGGGGGGGGGGGGGGGUGCUCCGUAGCCUGAAACAACGGAGCAGGUCGUGGGUUUAUCUCUGCGGGCGGACUGGCAGCAGUGGAUGCAGGCGGUGGUAGUGCAGCACCGGCGCUGACCUGGGGAGAAAAGUCUGAAGAGCUUCCAGCAUGAGCCUGAGUUUGGCAGAGCUGCAGAUUUGCAUUGCUGCCUAAAAUAAAAGAGGCAAGGUGCAUGCUUGGUGGGAGCAGCAUUGAUGAUAUUGUUUGUUUUAAGUUCAGAUCAAAAGAAAUGUAAAUGUGUAAAUAGGUUCUACUAUUUUGAAUUUGUAUCAUGUUAUGAUGCCUGAAAGUCUCCUAUUUGGUGUGACUUGGACAUGUUAAUAUCAGAUAAUUAUGAUAAUACAGGUUUUAUCUCUGAUAAUGUAUUUUAUUCUGCUU